ACAGUAUCGCGCUUAGCUCUCGGCUGUAUUCUCGCACUUCGGCUCUCCCGUCUUCAUUGGCCGCUUAACUAAAGUUCGCGAAGCCGUCAUAUAUACUUCGGUGAAAUUCUAUCUGGUCUCUCUGCAAUCUGAAUAGAUGCUGAGCGCACAUUGAUGGGGAUUACUGUGUUGGGGGAUAGCUUGAAACGGAUUUGCCAAUCGAUGAUAUGUAGUAAGACAUUGUAAAAUAUUCAUGAACUAGGAAUAUUAUGGUUACAUGCUUCUAUUUAGGAUAGAGUAGCUCAGUUUCUAGUCAUGCAGUGAUUUGAAAACAAGCAACUUCACUGAUAGUUUCAGCGGUAUGUUUAACGCGGUCAAUGAGGCAGACAGAUAUUUUAUGCGUAUCCUGUGCACGAGUUUUGUUUUAGUUUACAUUAUUUUGUCGAAGGUGAAGGCUAACAGUGUCGCUAACAGUCCUUGUGGCGGAGUUCUGAACCAAUCACAGGGCUUUAUUCAGACUCCGAACUUUCCCGGAAAAUUCAAGGUUCCAAUUAAGUGUAAAUGGGUCAUCGAUGCCAGUUCGCACCUGCCCAACGCCACAUUGACCGUUCAUCUGACCCAGCUCUAUGUGACAACUGGUCUCCGGUUCACCGGCUUGCCAUACUACGACCCGGAUAACACUUUUGCGCUUGGAGAGAAAUUCGGCGAAAGCCCCGUUCAUAAUGUGAGUGAAAACAACGUGCUAACCGUCAACUGGCUGAAGACCGAUUCACAGUUCUUGGCUGUAUACUUUGAACUGAAUCAACUGGAGGGUAAUCAUAUACGAGCCCUUGAUAAUCUACUCGACGUCUAUGGUUUUAACAUUACUUACCAAGUGCGCAAUGGAUUGGUAGGUGCCAAUUCAACAUGCAGUGCUCUCAGAUGCUCCUACAAUGGACACUGUUUCGCCAGCCACAAUUAUAGUGAAUACCGCUGCUCUUGCUUCCAUGGAUUCUCUGGGAAAGAUUGUGGACAAGGACCUCUAUGCAGACCUGACAGGAAUCCGUGCAUGAACAAUGGAACUUGCAGACAUGUUGGAUCAUCAUCAGUGAUAUGCAACUGUCCUGCCAGUUAUACUGGUUCAAAAUGUGAGAUUGCAGUACAGCUCCCAUCAUCAGAUUGUCCGGAAGAUGGAGGGAAGAAAACUGAAUGCGUCAACUAUUGCCCUGUUCGUCAACAUGAACCUCCAUGCUCUUGCAGGCUGCGUCCAGUUAAAGAAGUGUCCGAGCGUUCUCGAUAUAAAAUUGGCAUCCAUGCUACAAGCGAAUCCAUGGAGAACAGCAACUCGAGAGAUCACUUGAAGCCCAUUUCGAGCCGGACGUCAAGUCAUCAAUUUGAGAAAUCGAUCGCAAAGUACCUGAGAGGCAGGAUCUCCAGCUUUGAAGCUCUGAAGAUAUUAAAUAUUUCAUUUGAUGGUGAGAUACUCUUCCAUGUGUUUGCCAGAAAUGAAGAUGAGGACAAUAUAAAGCAAUCGAUCGGAGAGAUGGUCGAACAAGCUGCACUUGACAAUUUCACAUUCACUUCUGCUACAUUCAACUUCAAAAGGGAGCCAGCUCUAUUCGUGGAGGAGGUGAGCGUGAGUCCGGACCGACGAUCAGUACGGCAUGGCGAUGAAUUCAUAAUAACCUGCACUGCGUAUGGAUCACAGCAUAUCACGUUCCGGUGGUUCAAGAAUGACAUUCUCAUCAACAUAACAAAGGCGACAAGGGAAAUGUCAAUAAUAGACGCGCCCAAUCAUUUGCUGGACCACUAUACAUCAAUGUUGACGGUGAAAUCAGCUGAUCCACUGGAUAGAGGGUUGUACACCUGUCAGGCCAUCGAUUGGGGCGCACAGCACUGCAAGAGUGUCAAGCUGGACGUUAUCUCGACCCCAGGUGUCAAGGUGGCACCUCUCACUGCAUCCAUCCAAAAGGGACAGGCUCUGAAUAUAAUCUGCACGUGGUCUGUGACAAGUGAUGAUUCCAAGGUGUUCUAUGGAUACUCGUGGCUGAAAGAGCGGAAAGACACCAACGAAGCUCAUCUGUUCAAAAUGAAGGAGGACAGUGAAGUGUGGGAAGAUCUGCAGCCUGUUGGGAGCAUCCUCAGAGUGUAUAACAUUCAAAAAAGCACCAGAUACACAUGCCAGGUGCAGAGCAACGCUGAGCCGGUGGAAGCCAGUGUGGACGUGGAGGUGCUCAACAAAUCGGCAAUUCCCUGGUGCGAGUCUGAUGACACGGGGGUGGGUGGAGUUCGCUGGGCGGAGAUCGGUGCCUGGGGGGCGGCCAAAGUGGAGUGCCCGGCCCGCUACUCCGGCGUCGCCACCCGACUCUGCUCGGUCUCGGCGCCCGGCAAAGCCGCUUGGCUCACGCCCGAUUAUUCCAACUGCAUCUCCGAGGACCUGAGUCGGCUGGCCGAAAAUUUCAAAAAGUCGACUCUCGGUUAUGGCAGUACAACGGGUGCAUACACCAUGUCAAAAAUUUAUGAACUGCUGAGAGAUCGAUCACGAUUAUACCCUGGCGAGGGAGAAACGUUUCUCACACUCAUGCAAGACGUUGCCUGGUACCUGAACUUUACGAUGGCUUGGAAAGAUCUCUUGCAGUCAACUCCAGCUUUCUACAACACUAUCAACGUUAUACUCCAGCAUUCCAACUCUAUCAUCAACAGCCAGAAGCUGAUUGAUCUCCAAAACCUUGUGAAUCACUGGACAAUUACCUGGGCUAAACAUUCCAGAAUAAAUCGAGCUUCAGUACAGAGCUUUGAUUCUCUAAUGAUCCAUACUUACUGCUUCAACUCUUCUUCAAACAAGCUGGAGUACACUUUCGAUGUUUCGGGGAAUAUUCGAGGUUAUCAAUCAUGGUCAAGAACAGCCGUGAACAUCCUGGUAUCAAGGGAGAGUCUACUGGUUCAUGGAAGUACCUACAGCAUUGCGAUAAUCAUCUACAAGGACCUAAUGAAAUAUUUACCGGAGCGGCAGAUUUACAAGAUGGAUGAUGGCUCGGAGUGGGAGGUGGAGCAGACGAGUGGCAACGUGGUGUCCCUGGUGGGCAGUUCACCAUCGCUGCAGGUCAUGGUUGACAUUCGCAUGGCCACCGCACUCCGCCAGGGGUGGAACAUGAGCUGUGGCGCCAUGACAGCGCCCAGUGCCAGGUGGAUGCUCGAGAAGUGCACCGUCACCAUCGACAUUGAGGCCAGUGUCACCAGGUGCACUUGUCCCAUGCUGGCUACUAUCACCGCAUUGCUCACCAAAACUGCUUUACAGAAUGGAAAGAAGUCGACUGCAAAGAGUGACGUUGUGCUGAUAUUGGGCUGCCUGUGCUGUAUCUUGCAGUGCGUGCUCUCAACAGCCCUUCUACUCAUGCGUUGGUACAAUAAUCCCAGCUGCCUUAUCUUCCUCAAACUGCAAUGCUGUAUUUCCGUGACCGCCAUCGCCAUGGUUUUCUUCUCAGCAGCUAGAUCAGACAUCAAAGAGAGCUCCUACCCGUUUUUUGUGUUCUCUUUGGAAGCAUUUUUCCUUCUUGGACUGUCUUCUCAUCUAACCAAACUGCUUUUGGUAUAUACAGAAAUCAUCUAUAUUCCCACAGUCAAAGAUAUGAAGUUGACUGUGGUUGGUGUUAUAAAUGGUUUCACGUUGUUGAUAGUCCUUUGCAAUCAUCUCUCAUACAAUUCAACGAGAUGGAGAAUGGAGUCAUGGUGGCUGAUAAAAGGAACUUUCGUAUUCUAUGCAUUCGUCAUUUGCAUCUCAGUUAUGUCGGCCAUGUUCCUUUUCCUCUAUCUCAGUGUGAUGAAGCGGCUCGCUCAACUUUCCAGUAUGAAAUCAAUCAGUAAGGAGCAGACAAAAGCCAUCAAGAAAAGGGUUUGUUUGCUGGGUCGAGCUGCAUUGCUAUUCAUUACAAUACUUGUGAUGGCGCUGAUGAGUAUUGUCUAUGUCAACUAUCCGGGGCUCAAAUCGCAGUACGCUUUCAGUUUCACUUGUGCUUUCACGGGGUUUGUUCUCCUAGCCUGUUAUGUAUUGCAGAGUGAGGCUCCUCUUCAUCUGCAUUUGAUGGAGAAAAUUGGUGCGAAGGAUGUUUGCACUUCUGAUUCAGAGAGCAACAUUCUGAAUUGUAAUUUUCACCAAACAAGACGGAGAAACAGAGAGCGAGUGUGCUCCUCCUAAUCCCCCCAAGGAACCUCCAACCUGCCAAAAAGAAUCCAUUCAGCUGAGGGAGAUAUCUCCAAGAGGAUUAUCUCUCCUCUCAAAAGAAAAAGCAACUAGCAAUACGAAACUGGUUACCUUUCAAUCCGAUUUGGUUCAAGGCUGUGAAGUUCUGAAAUACGCAUCAACACUGCCAAAACGGCGACCAAAACUCACAAUCACUCGAUCAGAGUCAAUCAGCAACAUAUCUGGAAUAACAAGUCUGGAUCAGUUUGGGAACGAGCAUCAUGUUACAACAUCAUCCACCCAUCGAUCUCUGGAUAUGCUCCAAAGCAAUCACGAAGUGCUUACAACCAGAGUCUGUGUAGAACUAGGACUUGUCACAAAUGGCGAUAAAAGUGACCCAAUAAACGAUGGACCUUCGAUAGUUUUAUGUAGUGUCGACAUUGAGCCUUGUCCGGGAAAAGUUGUUGAACUGAAUGAAGUAACAGUGAAAACAACAACAACUGACGUUAACGGUAAUGGUAGCACGAACUCUCUGACAGUCGCGAAUUUGAAUAUCAGUAGGCAGACUCAGAAUGUGUGUUCAAAUCGGGCGUUUGAAAAUAAUCUUUCACAGCUUGAUAAUGAAAAUGGCAACUGUAAUGAAAGUGUGCAGGAAGCAUCUAGGACUGAUCGUGAUGUUUUGAAUAGGAUUUCCAGUGAUUUACAAUAUCUUCUACAGGAUUACGAUGCUAACGGGAAUGCUAACAAUAAAACUGUGCAAGGAGAGCAAGGGAUAAAUGUGCGGUCUUCAGUUGGAGAUGACAAAAAUGAAGAGAAUUGUACUGAGGGGAAGACUAGCUUGUGAAUGUCAUGGUAGCUUGAUUUCAGGUGAAAAUCAUAUUUUUUCAAAUGGGGGGUAAGACUUUUGUGGAAUAGUUACAACAGUCCUACCACACAAACUGGACUUUUGCUAUUGAAUUGCUAUUGAACCAGCUCUCCUAUUCAAUUACACACUUUCAAAAAUGUAAUUCAUUCAUAUUAUUCAAAUUUGGAGUAAACUUUCUGGAAGAGUAACUCUUAAUGAAAGAUCCAUGAUUCAGAAUCCUUAUUUUCCACUAGUGAAGCAAUUAGUGAUAAGGAUGCAAUCGAAUAGAAUUCAUUUGAAUAAAAGUUGGAAGGAUUGAUUGAUUGAUAUAUGCAGCUUAUUCAGUUUGUAAUUUUUAUAUUUUUCCAUAUCGAUAGGGCUAUCGUACUUUUAUAGCUUUCUAUAGAUUAUUAGAACUCUUUAUUUUUCUUGAAGAUACGACCAUUUUUUGACUAAUUAUCAAGUGUUCAAUAUUACUGUUGUGAUUUCCUAAUGUCGUUGCUACUCGAAUGGUAAUUGUGAUAAAGAUACAUGGAGAAAUACGUUAAUCAUAUUGAGAUGUUCUUCUUAUAUUGGACUGUGAUUGAUAAGUUGUCAUCAUAAUUAGUAUUAAUAUGCAAUAUGUCUACUUUUUAUAAGAUUUCUAAGGAAGAAGGGUGAAAAAUGAAGGUAUCGUAAAUUGUACUGAAAAUAAGCCAGUCAUUAAGAUGGAUA